CUGGAUGAACGCUAGCUACAGGCUUAACACAUGCAAGUCGAGGGGCAGCAUUUCAGUUUGCUUGCAAACUGGAGAUGGCGACCGGCGCACGGGUGAGUAACACGUAUCCAACCUGCCGAUAACUCGGGGAUAGCCUUUCGAAAGAAAGAUUAAUACCCGAUGGUAUAAUCAGACCGCAUGGUCUUGUUAUUAAAGAAUUUCGGUUAUCGAUGGGGAUGCGUUCCAUUAGGCAGUUGGUGAGGUAACGGCUCACCAAACCUUCGAUGGAUAGGGGUUCUGAGAGGAAGGUCCCCCACAUUGGAACUGAGACACGGUCCAAACUCCUACGGGAGGCAGCAGUGAGGAAUAUUGGUCAAUGGGCGCAGGCCUGAACCAGCCAAGUAGCGUGAAGGAUGACUGCCCUAUGGGUUGUAAACUUCUUUUAUAUGGGAAUAAAGUUUUCCACGUGUGGAAUUUUGUAUGUACCAUAUGAAUAAGGAUCGGCUAACUCCGUGCCAGCAGCCGCGGUAAUACGGAGGAUCCGAGCGUUAUCCGGAUUUAUUGGGUUUAAAGGGAGCGUAGGUGGACAGUUAAGUCAGUUGUGAAAGUUUGCGGCUCAACCGUAAAAUUGCAGUUGAUACUGGCUGUCUUGAGUACAGUAGAGGUGGGCGGAAUUCGUGGUGUAGCGGUGAAAUGCUUAGAUAUCACGAAGAACUCCGAUUGCGAAGGCAGCUCACUGGACUGCAACUGACACUGACGCUCGAAAGUGUGGGUAUCAAACAGGAUUAGAUACCCUGGUAGUCCACACAGUAAACGAUGAAUACUCGCUGUUUGCGAUAUACAGUAAGCGGCCAAGCGAAAGCAUUAAGUAUUCCACCUGGGGAGUACGCCGGCAACGGUGAAACUCAAAGGAAUUGACGGGGGCCCGCACAAGCGGAGGAACAUGUGGUUUAAUUCGAUGAUACGCGAGGAACCUUACCCGGGCUUAAAUUGCAUUUGAAUAUAUUGGAAACAGUAUAGCCGUAAGGCAAAUGUGAAGGUGCUGCAUGGUUGUCGUCAGCUCGUGCCGUGAGGUGUCGGCUUAAGUGCCAUAACGAGCGCAACCCUUAUCUUUAGUUACUAACAGGUCAUGCUGAGGACUCUAGAGAGACUGCCGUCGUAAGAUGUGAGGAAGGUGGGGAUGACGUCAAAUCAGCACGGCCCUUACGUCCGGGGCUACACACGUGUUACAAUGGGGGGUACAGAAGGCAGCUACCUGGUGACAGGAUGCUAAUCCCAAAAGCCUCUCUCAGUUCGGAUCGAAGUCUGCAACCCGACUUCGUGAAGCUGGAUUCGCUAGUAAUCGCGCAUCAGCCAUGGCGCGGUGAAUACGUUCCCGGGCCUUGUACACACCGCCCGUCAAGCCAUGAAAGCCGGGGGUACCUGAAGUACGUAACCGCAAGGAGCGUCCUAGGGUAAAACUGGUAA
rnacentral:rRNA from 1 species